GACGUAGGGCGCGAGCGCUGUCCGGAUUUAUUGGGCGUAAAGAGCUCGUAGGCGGCUUGUCGCGUCGAAUGUGAAAUCUCAGAGCUCAACUCUGACAUUGCAUUCGAUACGGGCAGGCUAGAGUUCGGUAGGGGAGACUGGAAUUCCUGGUGUAGCGGUGAAAUGCGCAGAUAUCAGGAGGAACACCGAUGGCGAAGGCAGGUCUCUGGGCACUUACUGACGCUGAGGAGCGAAAGCGUGGGGAGCGAACAGG
rnacentral:rRNA from 1 species